UACGUAGGGCGCAAGCGUUGUCCGGAAUUAUUGGGCGUAAAGAGCUCGUAGGCGGCUUGUCACGUCGGGUGUGAAAGACCGGGGCUUAACCCCGGUUCUGCAUUCGAUACGGGCUGGCUAGAGUGUGGUAGGGGAGAUCGGAAUUCCUGGUGUAGCGGUGAAAUGCGUAGAUAUCUGGAGGAACACCGGUGGCGAAGGCGGCAUUCUGGACCGACAUUGACGCUGAGGAGCGAAAGCCAGGGGAGCAAACGGG
rnacentral:rRNA from 1 species